GAUGAACGCUAGCUACAGGCUUAACACAUGCAAGUCGAGGGGCAGCGGCAUCGAAAGCUUGCUUUCGGUAGCCGGCGACCGGCGCACGGGUGAGUAACGCGUAUCGAACCUGCCUCAUACUCGGGAAUAGCCUUGCGAAAGUAAGAUUAAUGCCCGGUGUUUUCAGAGUCCCGCAUGAGGCUUUGAACAAAGAUUUAUCGGUAUGAGAUGGCGAUGCGUCCCAUUAGCUUGUUGGCGGGGUAACGGCCCACCAAGGCAUCGAUGGGUAGGGGGUCUGAGAGGAAGGUCCCCCACAGUGGAACUGAGACACGGUCCAAACUCCCACGGGAGGCAGCAGUGGGGAAUUUUGGACAAUGGGCGAAAGCCUGAUCCAGCAAUGCCGCGUGCAGGAAGAAGGCCUUCGGGUUGUAAACUGCUUUUGUACGGAGCGAAAAGGUCUGCUCUAAUACAGGGGGCUCAUGACGGUACCGUAAGAAUAAGCACCGGCUAACUACGUGCCAGCAGCCGCCGCAG
rnacentral:rRNA from 1 species